CGACUAGCCCAGUUGCUGGAAGCAUGUGGACGUGGCCGAGCGAUUGUGUUGCAUACUUGGAUUGUACUUGGAAUCUUAUUCAAUUAGUUGGGCACUCUACCUUCAAUGACGAACAAAGAAGGCUCUCCUUUUAUGCUGCAAUGUUCCUUCCACUUAGGAAGACCAUGUAUAUAUAAAGAUAG